AGAUGAGCAUGCGUCCCAUUAGCUAGUUGGUAAGGUAACGGCUUACCAAGGCAACGAUGGGUAGGGGUCCUGAGAGGGAGAUCCCCCACACUGGUACUGAGACACGGACCAGACUCCUACGGGAGGCAGCAGUGAGGAAUAUUGGUCAAUGGGCACAAGCCUGAACCAGCCAUGCCGCGUGCAGGAUGACGGUCCUAUGGAUUGUAAACUGCUUUUGCACAGGAAGAAACACUCGGUCGUGACCGAGCUUGACGGUACUGUGAGAAUAAGGAUCGGCUAACUCCGUGCCAGCAGCCGCGGUAAUACGGAGGAUCCAAGCGUUAUCCGGAAUCAUUGGGUUUAAAGGGUCCGUAGGCGGCCAGAUAAGUCAGUGGUGAAAGCCCAUCGCUCAACGAUGGAACGGCCAUUGAUACUGUUUGGCUUGAAUUAUUUGGAAGUAACUAGAAUAUGUAGUGUAGCGGUGAAAUGCUUAGAGAUUACAUGGAAUACCAAUUGCGAAGGCAGGUUACUACAAAUUGAUUGACGCUGAUGGACGAAAGCGUGGGUAGCGAACAGGAUUAGAUACCCUGGUAGUCCACGCCGUAAACGAUGGAUACUAGCUGUUGGGAGCAAUCUCAGUGGCUAAGCGAAAGUGAUAAGUAUCCCACCUGGGGAGUACGUUCGCAAGAAUGAAACUCAAAGGAAUUGACGGGGGCCCGCACAAGCGGUGGAGCAUGUGGUUUAAUUCGAUGAUACGCGAGGAACCUUACCAAGGCUUAAAUGUAGAUUGACCGGUUUGGAAACAGACUUUUCGCAAGACAAUUUACAAGGUGCUGCAUGGUUGUCGUCAGCUCGUGCCGUGAGGUGUCAGGUUAAGUCCUAUAACGAGCGCAACCCCUGUUGUUAGUUGCCAGCGAGUCAUGUCGGGAACUCUAGCAAGACUGCCAGUGUAAACUGUGAGGAAGGUGGGGAUGACGUCAAAUCAUCACGGCCCUUACGCCUUGGGCUACACACGUGCUACAAUGGCCGGUACAGAGAGCAGCCACU
rnacentral:rRNA from 1 species